rnacentral:misc_RNA from 1 species
GUUUGGGUAUGAUCGUUUAGCUGAUGAUUAUAAGGUGGUUACGAUUGCACAAUUGUAUCAUCCUGAUGCUGAACCUUCGUUGGUUUCGGAAACAAUGGUUUUUAGUUUGAAGUUGGAUGUGUGGAAGAAGGUUCAGGAUUGUCCUUACUGGUUGCUUAAAGAGGAUAAUGGGACUUGUGCUGGAGGUGCAUUGCAUUGGAUUGUAACGAAGGAACCGUCAGCUUGGUGGAGUCCUUUGAUUCUUGUGGGGCUUAAUCUUCAAAAUGGGACUUUUCAGGAGGUGGAGUAUCCGGAGGAUUUGGGGAAUCCGCAACAGAUAAAUUUGGCUGUGUUGGGAGAAUGUCUUUGCUUGCUUAAAGGUCAUCUCACUUGUUCAAAUGCAAAGAAUCAUGUGUUGGAUCGUAUUGACGUAUGGAUGAUGAAGGAUUACGGAGUGAAAGAGUCUUGGGUUAAGUUGUUUUCGGUGGAGCAGUUAGAGGGUCGUCAACAUUUCCGUAACUUGAGGCCAAUAACAUAUUCAGUGACUGGUAAGGAAGUUCUUAUGGAAAUGGAUAAUAGGAAGUUUCUUUGGUAUAGUCUUGAAAGGAAGUCGCUCAAAUAUGCUAAGAUGAACAGUAAAUUGGACACUUUUGAAUCCAUUGUCUGUUUGGGAAGUCUUGUUCCUUUAUAUGGAGGUCGCAAUGAAAAGGAUAGGAAGAAAGGGAUUGAGCAACG